rnacentral:lncRNA from 1 species
AUCCCUUAAUUAAUUUUCUCUCUCCCAUGUAAACACGUCCCUUCAUCUCUCCCUUCUCUCUUUCCUGUAUCUCCCACUCCAUCUCUCUCUCACGUAUCUUCCUCUCUCUCUCUCUUGGAAAAAAUUCCGUGCAUCUCUUCUCUCCAUUCUCUCUCUUCCCCCAUGGAAAACAAAAUCAUCUUCUCCCCACAAACUGAAGGAAGGGAGUUUCGGGCAUGGAUCCAGUUGAUCAAUGAUCUUAAUGCAUCAAAUUUUUGUUCCUCGUCUUGAUCAGGUUCUGGAUCAGGUUCGUUUCUCACACUGCUUUUAUACCAAGAUUUGAUGAAAGUUUCAUACUCCUUUCUUUCUGAUUUGUGUAUUGAAUAAACUUCAAAAUUUGUUUUCCUUUGAUCUGUUGUAUUAAUGUCCUCCUUUCUACGUUUUCUGUAAUUUAGGGUCUAAUACAAUGGCGACAAGAUAGAAAAACCCGGGAAAGUACGUGGACACAGAUUGAUAUAUUAGUUCACAUUAUUUGAUAUAUCUGUAAUGAUGUAUGGAAUCUUUUUGAUAGGUUCAGAACCUACAAGUAAGCCCUUUCAAUUUGAUUUUAUAUCUGGACAUAGUUUUAGUUUCUUUCCAAGAAAAUUGGUGUAGGUUAUUCAUUGCUUGACCAAAGCAUUCAACGUUAGAAACUGGUUGAAACUAGACCAAUUUUUGGGUUCCAAGUUUCCAAUUAUUAUUCAGAUGGUAUAUGUUGCAGGUUCCGUUCGUUAAUCUGGUUUAUCUAGCGUCCGACUAUCGGUUAUCUCAGCAAACUACGCGGGCAGGUGUUUCCUCUCCACCUAUGCAUCUCCAGAGUCACUCCCAACUGCCGAUAGUUAGGCCCGUUUAUUGUCCUUAGACAUUAGUAUGGCCCUAACAACCACCAACAUAUCGGUUACAGACUGUCUAUUUCUAAAAAUCCGGCAGUUUUCUUGGACAAGGGAAAAUAUGACAAUCAGACCAGCUAGAUAAGUAGGUGUUCACUCUAAUCUCAAUUCAGGUAUAUUCCUCUUUAUGUUUUACCUUCUUUCAAAAAAAUGUUGUACAGUUAGUUUUAUCCUUUGUUUACAGUUUAAUACCCACCAGCAAAUAACUUACCUCUAUUAGCAAAAUAAAUUUAUAGGUUAUUCACCAACAGAAAAUGCUUAUUGAAUAGACUCCAUGUAUGUGAUGCAAGACUGAAAGGCCCGAAUGCUUUCUUCAAAUUGACACAUGAAGAGAUAAAACAUGUACUUUUCUUGGAGCAGGGAGAAGACGACAAUCAGACAAACCAUCUCGAAUCUACAUUCAGGUUUACUCCUCCUGAAGUUUUACUUUUUGCCGAAAUUUGUCGAUCUAGGGUUGGUUUGAUCCUCCAUUCAUAGUUUAUGUCCGACUAGCAAAUUAUAUUACUCUUUCUAGGAGGAGCAAUUUAUCUUCCUUGGUGUUACCAACCAACAUGUGCAGAUAUACUUUCAAAGGAUCCCAUGUACGUGUGUUGCUCGAUCGAAAGGCUGAAAACCUGUGCCGAGAAAUGCUGCUCACGGAAUUUUCACUCUCUCUCGAAGAAACUCAAUAGCAUGUAUGCUGAUCCAUCUUGAUCAUCACUUUUUUUGAGAAGCUGAGGAGUCAUACAUACAUACAACAUUAAGACUAAUAAAUGUGUUUGUACAUGUGUUUCUCGACUGCUAGGACAAUGGGUUUAGAGAAGUGUUGAGGUGAGCAGCGUCUAUAUAGCUGCCGGAUGCCGGAUGCAUAUUUAGCGGAAUGCCUAUGUAAUGGUACCGGAAGAGGGAUUCGUAUCCGGUGGCGCCUAAAGGCUGCGGCAAGGUAGUCUGCCAUGGGCGCACACAGGAGUGGAAACUGGAAGAGGAUGGGCGAGGAGGACAUAGAGAGGCAAACGGAACGCAGUGAGCCGCGAGGGGCAGAUGCACGGCAAGUCUCCAUGUUUUUUUAAGGUGGCGUCUAGCCGUGUACAGUUUUUUUUUGCGAAUGUCUACAGUUUUUGUUGUUGUACUACAUACAACAAAAUGUAUGCUUCUGGGACUUUAGCCACGAACAAAACUUUAGAUGGCAUCUACAGUUUUUUAUUGAACAGAUCGGGAG